rnacentral:misc_RNA from 1 species
GAUGAAGAACGCAGCGAAAUGCGAUAAGUAGUGUGAAUUGCAGAAUUCAGUGAAUCAUCGAAUCUUUGAACGCACAUUGCGCCCGCCAGCACUCUGGCGGGCAUGCCUGUUCGAGCGUCAUUUCAACCAUCAAGCCCCCAGGGGCUUGUGCUGGGGCCCUGCGGCUGCCCGCAGGCCCUGAAAACCAGUGGCGGGCUCGCUAGUCACACCGAGCGCAGUAGCACAUCUCGCUCAGGGCGUGCGGCGGGCUCCUGCCGUGAAACCCCCCACUGUAACCCCAAAGGUUGACCUCGGAUCAGGUAGGAAUACCCGCUGAACUUAAGCAUAUCAAUAAGCGGAGGA